UAGCUUUGUCUUAAGUCAAACUUCUUUAAGUUUGAACAACUAUAUGGAAAAAUAUGCUGACAUUUACAAAAUCAUAUAUAUAUAGUACGAAAAUAGUUCAUGGCUAAUCUAAUGAAAUUAUUUUGGUGUUGUAAGUGUUAAUGUAGUUUUCUAUAAACUUGAUCUAACUUAAAAAAUGUUGACUUAGGACAAACUAGA
rfam:Triticum aestivum genome assembly, contig: Triticum_aestivum_CS42_TGACv1_scaffold_050308_1BS